CGCUCGGGGAGUGUCAGCGAUGAGACAACGUCGAAAUUAAGGAGAAAAUGGUGGCUGUUGGCAGUAGAUACACUCAAUUCAGCUGCCGGGUUUGCCAACUUUUACCGUUUUUAACCAUUUCAUGUGUCUAGACUAGAGAAACAAACUGCAUUCCCGGUAUGCCCAGAGAGCAAAUCAAGUGCACAUUCGGUUUCCGCGGGCUAAUCGGCUGGCUCAGAUGACGGUGUUUGCAGGAAUGAAGAAGGCAUAAAAGAAAGCUACAGCAAAAUUGAUACUGGGUGGAUCAGCUUAAUAUUGCGGAAAGAUUGUUGCUUCCAUCAAUGUUCUUAAAACACAGCACUCGUCCAACCCGGAAGCCAUCCGCACCAAUGUGUCUGAGGAAACACCCUGCACCUGGCAACCUUGGUUAGCGCGCACUGCGCCCGGCCCGCCACAGGAGUCGCUGGUGCCCGAUGAGACAAACUCGCCAAACCCUCCAAUUGUGCGUAGCCCCACGGACCUCCCGGUCGCGGCCGGUUACGAAGGAGCCUGGGCACGAAUCCAGAGUCUGGUGGCACAGCUGGCGCUGCAGUACUGCGCCACCCGGGAGGCCGUACUUGUACUUUUUAGGAUGAAAUUAACAUUCUGUAUUCAACAUGUGGUUAAAAGCUAGCUAAGGUAUUAGCACGCCCUUUAUUGUAUGUGUGAACGAUGGCUAGCACCUCAAAUGAUCCCAGUCCCUUGUAUUGUGCAUAUGUUGUAGAAAGAGGCGACGGUUCGCAGAACAUAUAUUCUCUAAUGUUUUAUUUUGUUUUUAGAUGCAGAUAUGUGGUUUUAUCUAUGUAAAAUAUAUGUUGUGUGUUGAUGCAUAGUAAGGAGAGGCUGUACUCAUUUUUGUAUUCUAAAAUCAUUUUGAUGCACUAUGAGAGAAAGAGGUCAACGAUGCUCAGAACAUAGGUGCUCUACAAAUGUUUUAUUUUCAUCUGGAUGCAGGAUGCAGAGAGUGAAU